UACAGAGGUCUCAAGCGUUGUUCGGAUUCAUUGGGCGUAAAGGGCUCGUAGGUGGCCAACUAAGUCAGACGUGAAAUCCCUCAGCUUAACUGGGGAACUGCGUCUGAUACUGGAUGGCUUGAGUUUGGGAGAGGGAUGCGGAAUUCCGAGGUGUAGCGGUGAAAUGCGUAGAUAUCUGGAGGAACACCGGUGGCGAAGGCGGCAUCCUGGACCAACACUGACACUGAGGAGCGAAAGCCAGGGGAGCAAACGGG
rnacentral:rRNA from 1 species